AUGGAAGCUUCAGUCAUCUGCUGGGUGUUUUUCACCCUGUUGACCUUGUCUCCAGUCCUUUGGGCUCAGAGUAUAGUGCAAGUGCAUUCUGGGCUCCAAGUCAGCCGAGGAAAGUCUGUUUAUGUGACCAACAAGGAUCUGCAGCUCAGUCUCCCUGAUGAUGUGAAUUCCUGCAAGGUGGAAGUGGUAUUGAAUGAACCCGUGACACAAAGAGUUGGCAAACUCACACCUCAGGUUUUUGACUGUAACUUCUUACCUGAUGAGGUCAAGUACAUUCAUAAUGGUAGUCCUUUACUGGAGGAGGACACAGUGAUGCUAAGAAUCUACAGAUUUACACAUUCUGAGACUUUCAUAGAGACUGUUCUGCUGAGGGUGAGUGUGGUGGACCCCCAUGACAGCCUUAUCCAGUUUGGGAGAACUCCUUUGGUGGUCCCUGAGUUCUACAGCUUGUCUAACAUCAUUGACAGCAGAGUACUGACAUUCCAGAGCAGACCAGGAGCGAUCUGCAAUGUCCGUCUUCUCAACUCUGAAACUAGCAUGCCAGCAUUUGGACAGCUGGUCAAGGGUAGUCAGACUCGAGACUCAUGUGCUGGUAACAAAGCCUGCAUCCAUGGCGCUAAGGAAGUACGUUUUUUAAAGGCCAACUGUGAGGAAUUCCUGAAAUCAGACUAUAAGUACCAGCAUCUCAAUCCUCCAUCCCCCGAGAUUGAUUACAUUACAAUCAGAGUGGAGCUGCGGGACAACAUCUCCAGGACAGAAAGCACUUGGAUCCCAGUCCUAAUUCAUGGUGCCAUGCAGAACCAGCCCCCCCAUGCUGCCUUCAUGUCAAUGUUCAUCCUGGAGGUGGACCAGUUCAUUCUCACUCCCAUGACCACUGCUGCACUCGAUGCCAAGGACGAUGAAACCACUCAAGACCAGUUGGUGUUCAACAUUACUAAGCCCCCACCAGAGGGGUAUGUCACUCACCUGGAUGACCAUACCAAGCCAAUCACCUCCUUUAUCUGGCAAGACUUGCAUGAGAUGAAAAUUGCGUAUCAGCCCCCUAACAUAAGCUACACUGGGAGAAGGAACUAUGAGGUUGAGUUCCAGGCCAUUGACACUUCCUUUGCUACCAGUCCUACCAUACUGGUUCACUUCUCAGUCCGGACCGCAGAAACAAAUGCUCCUCGAGUGUCCUGGAAUAUGGGACUGGAUUUACUGGAAGGUCAAUCCAGACCAAUCACCUGGGAGAAUUUGCAGAUUGUGGACAGUGACAACAUCGAUGCAGUCUAUUUGGUGGCUGUGGAGGGACCUUCACAUGGGCAGCUGAGUGUGCGAGGUGGGAAAGGUUUCAUGUUCAAGGUGCAAGACCUGCAUGAGGGUGUAGUGGUGUACCAUCAUUCAGACAGCGACACCAUAAGGGACCAUAUAGUGUUCCGCAUCUCUGAUGGUCAGCACAGCAUUCGACACAAGUUCCCCAUCAAUAUUCUCCCAAAAGACGAUACACCUCCAUUCCUCAUCAACAAUGUGGCAUUUGAGGUGCAGGAGGGGGGUUCUGUUCUGGUGGAGGAAUACAUGUUAUUAGCCUCAGACUUGGACUCCAGCGAUGACUACAUCUUCUAUAAGGUUCUUACAGUUCCACGAGCCGGAGAGUUGAUUAAGAGGUCAUCUGCCCAGUUCCCAGUGACUAGUUUCCUGCAGAGAGAUUUGUCUCAGGGCUUAAUUUAUUACAGACACUUUGGUGAUGAGGUAUUUGAAGAUUCAUUUGACUUCAUCCUCUCUGACAGCCACCAACCCCCAAAUCUGUCAGAAAGACAUACUGUGGUGGUUCAUGUUUCUCCAGUAAAGGACCAGCUGCCAGAGGAGGUGCCAGGCAGCAUCCGUGCCAUCACAGUGAAGGAGACAGAAAUUGUCCACCUCACCCAGAGCCACCUGCACUUCAGGGACCAAGAGUCUCCUGAGACAGACCUCAUGUAUUCCAUCAUUCAGCCCUGUUUCAGCCCCACAGCAUCCAGGAUGCAGGAUGCCGGCAGGCUGUUCUAUACUGACAGUGCAUACUCCAUGAAGAAGGAUCCCACUGUUCCAGUGCUGAAGUCUUUUACUCAGCACUUAAUGCUUUGUCUGUAUCUCCAGCAUGCAGUGAAUCACCUGAAAGUGGGGUACAUGCCCCCCCUCGAAGACAUUGGACCAGAGCCUCUUUUUGUGCAGUUUAUCUUCUCUCUGAAUGACCAGCACGGUGGCACUCUGAGCGGCCUUGUCUUCAACAUUACCGUGAUGCCAGUGGACAACCAGCCUCCUGAGAUGUUCACCAACUUGAUGAGGGUGGAGGAGGGAGGAAGUGGCUUCGUGACCGAAGAGCACCUCCUGGUGCGGGACACGGAUAGCCAGGACACCCAGCUGAUGUUGCAGCUUCAAACAGCUCCUCGGCAUGGACAGCUGGAGCUGCAGGGUAUAGCGUUACUGUCAGGGGACAACUUUACUGUCCAGGACCUGAGGAGGCUCAGAGUCAGGUAUAUUCACGAUGACAGCGAAACUCUUGAAGACAGUAUUGACCUCAAAGCAACAGAUGGCACAAACUCUGCUUAUGGAUCACUCUCUAUCCUGCCUGUGAAUGAUGAGCCGCCCCUGCUCGGUGCCGGGCUACGAUCAGGCCUGGAGUGUGCAGAGGGGGGACGUGUGCAGGUGAGCGCGGACUACCUGUCUGCCACGGAUGCAGACAGUGAUGACGCCGAGCUCAUGUACAUGUUGGCACGGAGGCCAGCCCAAGGAGAACUGCAGAGAGCAGGCAUGGCAGUGGAAAAAUUCUCUCAGUGGGAUGUUGUCCAGGGGUUGAUCUUCUACGUGCACACAGGUGGUGAGAUCGGACCCCACCCUGUCUUAGACCCCGUCACCUUGAUUGUGUCAGAUGGAGAAGCUGGCCCUCUGGAGGGCUGCUGCCAUGGAGAUGCUCCACCACCACCUGUCCCUUUGCAUGGAUUCCUUCCUGUAUACGACCUCAACAUCACUGUACUUCCUGUCAAUAACCUGCCCCCUGUUAUCACACUAGGAGACAUGAUUGUGGUGGAUGAGGGUUCCUCUGCUUGUCUCUGUGGGGGGUUUCUGGGGGCAACUGAUCCUGAUACACCCCAGGACCAGCUCCUGUUUUCCAUUGAUGUUCCACCCCAGUAUGGCUUUAUAGAGAACACCUUGCCCUCACCCGGGUUUGAGAAGAGCAACGCAGGACUCAGAGUUUACUCUUUCAGCUGGCUGCACCUCAAUGCAGGGUACAUCAACUAUGUCCAGUCUCAGCAUGAAGGGACAGAGCCUGGAGCUGACCACUUUGUUGUGACAGUCAGCGAUGGGGUGCAGAGGUCAGCCUCAGUUCCCUUCUACAUAAUCAUCAGUCCUACAAAUGAUGAGAUGCCCACACUCAUCACUGGGGCAACUAUGUCAAUAAGCAGUCUCACUGCAUGGGGGCUGACUGUGCUACUGGCUUCACUCACUCCUCACCCUUCUCUCCUCUGUGUGCUUCCCCCCUUUCAUCCCAACCUCCCCCAUCCCAAAUCCCACACACAUCCUCUACCCUCCACAGGAAUGAAGAUCAUAUACAUGCACGAUGACACGGAAACCCUCAAGGACGCUUUCACCAUGCAGCUGACAGAUGGCAGGCACACAGUCCAGGGGACGGCGCACGUCCGCGUCCUACCAGUCAAUGAUGAAAAGCCACGGCUGCUGAAAAAUACUGGUCUGGAAGUGGAGGCAAUGGAGAAGAGAAUUAUCUCCAGUGUGGUAUUGGAUGCAGAAGACCUGGACACCCCCAUACAUAAAUUGUACUACAUCCUCAGUGUUGGCCCCAAGUUCGGACAGCUGCAGAUGAAGGUCAGCCGCUGGAUUCAUCUGAGACCAGGCCAGAACUUCACGCAAGAUGAUGUGGAGAUGAACCGCCUGUGGUACCUGCACACAACCAUGCAAGGAACGAAAGGUCACGACAGCUUCCACUUUUUCCUCACCGAUGGGGAGCACAAAUCUUUGCCCCACAGCUUCUUCAUCUCGCUCCGCACAGUACGAAAAGGGGACAUCACCCUUGUCACCAGGCCCAUCACCUUGAUGGAAGGUCACAGGGUCGUCCUGAACACAGACAUCCUGUUGGCCAUGGACAACACAGGCAAAGCAGAAGAGCUGGUGUACACGGUAUCGGUUCCUCCGAACCACGGGCACCUUCAUGCAGUGCAGCACCCUGGCAUCGCCCUCACCAGCUUCACCCAGCUGGAUGUGGCAGCCCAUCGAGUAUGCUAUACCCACGAUAACAGCCGCUCAGCCAAGCAAGAUUCCUUCAGGUCAGACUUUGUCAUCAGCAAUGGUGUCACAUCGAAAAGUGGCUCCCUGCUCUUCAAUGUGGAACAUGGUGACCGCAUCCCUCCUACCCUAGUGACCAACAAAGGGCUCCAGCUCAUGGAGGGUACAGUGGCACUAAUCUCUCAGGACAGUCUAGAGCUGACCGACCCAGACACCACAGUGGAUAACUUGACUUAUGUUGUAACUCAGCAACCCCUUCACGGAAGGUUACUACUAAGAGGACAGCCUCUCUCCCAACCAAGAUUCACACAGGGUGAUGUGAACAACUUGGACCUGACCUACCGGCAGCAGAGUGUAAAGGCCCAGAUGGAUAAGUUUGCUUUCCUGCCCUCCGAUGGUACAAACAAAGGGUUUCUGCUGCAUGGCCAGCUGAGAGAGGAUCCAGUCAUUUUCAUAAUACAGGUGGAGCAUGUAGAUAAAAGCCCCCCAAGCCUGGUGACCAAGAGAAGCCCUAGUACAGUGGAGAACCUGCAUGAUGGCAGGCAGGGCAUCUACAUCACCUCCAGAGACCUGCGGGCAUCUGACCCUGACAGUCCAGAUCAGGAGCUGGAGUUCACUAUCCUCAGACCACCACAUUUUGGGCACUUAGAGAACAUCCUCACAGGGGGAUACAUAAGAGGCCGCUUCACACAGAAGGACCUGAACCAGCGUGCGGUGCUGUACAUUAUUGACCCCAGUGUGGAAGUGACAGGAGACAGCUUUGAGCUCCAAGUCAGUGACUCUGCAGGAAACACCAUGCUGCCGGAAGUCCUGGAGCUGAAAUGGUCUCGUGUAGAGCUGUCAGCGACGUGUUUCCGUGUUUGUGAGAACAUGGGGGUGUUGCCCCUUCAAGUGACACGCACCGGGAACAGCGCAGACCCUGCCUAUGUCAGCAUCCAGGUGGAAGAGGGCACUGCCAAAGUGGGGAAAGAUUUUACUCAUAGCUCAGCCAGUUUGAUCCAGUUUGAUACAGGGGUCAAUAUCAAAAGUUGGAAAAUCAAUCUUAAGGAUGACGGACUGGAGGAGAACCAUGAGAACUUUGAGGUGGUCUUGAAAGCGCAGAAGAAUGCAGUUCUGGGUCAGAAAAACCGAGCAACUGUAGAAAUUGUGGACCCCAGAGGAGGUGAGAAAAAAAUGCAUGUUUGCAUUAUACACACUGAGGGAAUACUGCAAGUCCAAGGUGGUGGACUGACAGAACAUGUGGGAAACGGAGGGACAACAGAACCGAUUUGGUUAGUCCACCUCCAGAUCUUCAGAUCAAGGAUGUGGGGUUUCUGCCAUUCCAUACAAGCAGAAUAUAUUAGCAUUUACGUCUGUAAUAUGAUGUUGGCAGUUUGUGUCGAAAAGGUUUAA
rnacentral:lncRNA from 1 species